CCUACGGGAGGCAGCAGUGAGGAAUAUUGGUCAAUGGACGCAACUCUGAACCAGCCAUGCCGCGUGCAGGAAGACGGCUCUAUGAGUUGUAAACUGCUUUUGUACGCGGGUAAAUCCCGAGACGUGUAUCGGGUUCAAAGUAACGUACGAAUAAGGAUCGGCUAACACCGUGCCAGCAGCCGCGGUAAAACGGAGGAUUCAAGCGUUAUCCGGAUUUAUUGGGUCUAAAGGCAGCGUAGGCGGUUCGAUAAGGUAGAGGGGAAAUCUCGGGGCUCAACUCCGGCACUGCCUCGGAUACUGUCGGGCUAGAGUGUAGUUGCGGUAGGCGGAAUGUAUGGUGUAGCGGUGAAAUGCAUAGAGA
rnacentral:rRNA from 1 species